rnacentral:rRNA from 1 species
CAGCCGCCGCGGUAAAACGAGGGGGGCAAGCGUUGUCCGGAAUUAUUGGGCGUAAAGGGCUCGCAGGCGGUUUCUUAAGUCUGAUGUGAAAGCCCCCGGCUCAACCGGGGAGGGUCAUUAGAAACUGGGAAACUUGAGUGCAGAAGAGGAGAGUGGAAUUCCACGUGUAGCGGUGAAAUGCGUAGAGAUGUGGAGGAACACCAGUGGCGAAGGCGACUCUCUGGUCUGUAACUGUCGCUGAGGAGCGAAAGCGUGGGGAGCGAACAGGAUUAGAUACCCGGGUAGUCCCUGUCUCUUAUAC